rnacentral:rRNA from 1 species
AUGGUCAGCGUCGACGCGAAGCAGGCGGCGCCGGCGGCGGGGGGGAGGGCGCAGAGGCACCUCAACCUGUGCUUCGUCGCCGGCUUCCUCCUCGUGCUCCUCACCUACCUCGUCGUCUCCCAGCAGUUCGCCGUCACCUCCCCCGUCGCUGUCCCCACGACGCCGCCGCACAGGAAGCAUCAGGCCGUCAAGUCCCCCGGCGCCGGCGAAGCAGGAUUUACGCAAGGGGGUCGAGAAGGAGAGGGCAAGGCGGAGGCCAGACCAGCUCACGAGCAGCAGCAGCAAACGGCAGGGCCGCCGAAAGCAGAGGGCCGCGCGCGCGGCGUGGGGAAGACAGACGACGACGGUGCGGCCAAGCCGUUUGACAACGGCAAGGUGGUGUGCAGCGCGAGCCCCUACUCCUACACCUGCGACGUCUUCGGCGACGUCCGGACCAACGGCACGGCCCACACCGUCACCCUGGUGCCGGCGACGUCCCGACCAGAGCGCCGGGAGUGGAGCAUCCAGGCCUACGCCCGCUUCAACAUGACUGGCAUCCCCAACGUCACGGUGACGCAGCUCGACUCGACGUCCGCGCUGUCCCCGGCGCCCGCGUGCACGAUCACGCACCGUGUCCCGGCCAUCGUGCUCGCGCUCGGCGGCCACCUGGGCAACUACUUCCACGACUUCAGCGACGCGCUCGUGCCGCUCUUCGUGGCGUCGCGCCGGUACGGCGGCGAGGUCCAGCUCCUGGCCGGCAACAUCCAGCCCUGGUGGCUCGGCAAGUACGAGGCCGUCGUGCGGCGGCUGACAAAGUACGACGUCCUCGACCUCGACCACGACGAUCAGGUCCGGUGCUUCCGGCACGUCACCGUGGGCCUCAACAUGCACAAGGAGUUCAACAUCGUGCCCGAGCUGGUCCCCGGCGGCGUCCCGCUCUCCAUGCUCAACUUCACCGCCUUCCUCCGCGAGACCUACUCCCUGCCGCGCGCCGCUCCCAUCCGCCUGACUAAUAAGAAGAGCAGCCCGCCGGUGGACGGGAAGAAGAUGAAGAAGCCGCGGCUGAUGCUGCUCGACCGGGGCCACUACCGGAAGCUCGUCAACGUGCCGGAGAUUGUCAAGGCGGCCGAGAAGGCCGGGUUCGAGGUGACCAUCGCGGACCCGCGGUUUAACGUGCGCGUCAAAGAGCUGGCCCUCUCCGUGAACUCGUUCGACGUGCUGCUCGGCGUGCACGGCGCCGGGCUGACCAACUCGGCGUUCCUGCCGCCGGGGGCGGUGGUGAUCCAGGUGGUGCCCUACGGCAAGCUGGAGCCGAUGGCGCAGAGGGAAUUCGGCGACCCCGCGGCCAACAUGGGGCUCCGGUACCUCGAGUACAGCAUCUCCGUGGAGGAGAGCACGCUGCUGGAGACGCUGGGGCCUGACCACCCCGCGAUCAAGGAUCCGGAUUCCGUCCACCGGAGCGGGUGGGACAAGGUCGCCGAGUACUACCUUGGCAAGCAGAACGUGCGCGUCGACGUCCAAAGGUUCGCGCCGACGCUCGCGCUCGCGCUCGACCAUCUCCGGCAACAGUAG